AGUCGAGCGAGACCUUCGGGUCUAGCGGCGGACGGGUUAGUAACGCGUGGGAAUAUACCCUUCACUACGGAAUAGCCUCGGGAAACUGGGAGUAAUACCGUAUACGCCCUUUUGGGGAAAGAUUUAUCGGUGAAGGAUUAGCCCGCGUCUGAUUAGAUUGUUGGUGGGGUAAUGGCCUACCAAGUCUACGAUCAGUAGCUGGUUUGAGAGGAUGAUCAGCAACACUGGGACUGAGACACGGCCCAGACUCCUACGGGAGGCAGCAGUGGGGAAUCUUAGACAAUGGGCGCAAGCCUGAUCUAGCCAUGCCGCGUGAGUGACGAAGGCCUUAGGGUCGUAAAGCUCUUUCGCCAGAGAUGAUAAUGACAGUAUCUGGUAAAGAAACCCCGGCUAACUCCGUGCCAGCAGCCGCGGUAAUACGGAGGGGGUUAGCGUUGUUCGGAAUUACUGGGCGUAAAGCGCACGUAGGCGGAUUGGAAAGUAUGGGGUGAAAUCCCAGGGCUCAACCCUGGAACUGCCUUGUAAACUCCCAGUCUAGAGUUCGAGAGAGGUGAGUGGAAUUCCAAGUGUAGAGGUGAAAUUCGUAGAUAUUCGGAGGAACACCAGUGGCGAAGGCGGCUCACUGGCUCGAUACUGACGCUGAGGUGCGAAAGUGUGGGGAGCAAACAGGAUUAGAUACCCUGGUAGUCCACACCGUAAACGAUGAAUGCCAGACGUCAGGGGGCUUGCCCUUUGGUGUCACACCUAACGGAUUAAGCAUUCCGCCUGGGGAGUACGGUCGCAAGAUUAAAACUCAAAGGAAUUUGACGGGGCCGCCACAACCG
rnacentral:rRNA from 1 species